rnacentral:rRNA from 1 species
GACGAACCGUGCAAACGUUGUUCGGAAUGACUGGGCGUAAAGGGCGCGUAGGCGGUUUGGUUAGUUAGGCGUGAAAUUCCUGGGCUCAACCUGGGGGCUGCGCUUAAUACAGCCAGACUAGAGUGUGAAAGAGGGUCGUGGAAUUCCCAGUGUAGAGGUGAAAUCGUAGAUAUUGGGAAGAACACCGGUGGCGAAGGCGGCGACCUGGUUCAUUACUGACGCUGGAGGCGCGAAAGCGUGGGGAGCAAACAGG